rnacentral:misc_RNA from 1 species
AAUCCUCAAAAGAAAAGCUUAACUGCUUUCUCUUUUGGAAUUGGAGUGUGCUGGCCUUCUGUUUGGGAAGCCCAGCUCCUCUGAAAUACAUUAGCGAUGUGACAUCCGCAUGGCACCACGCUUCUCUGGCAUUGAUAGUAUCUUCAUGCCUGAGCGUGCUGUGCAGCUGUGGAAAGCUUUGCUCGCUCAUAGCUUGAUGGGUCAGCCCAUCCUUUGACCA